rnacentral:rRNA from 1 species
UACGGGGGGGGCAAGCGUUGUUCGGAAUUACUGGGCGUAAAGGGCUCGUAGGCGGCCAACUAAGUCAGACGUGAAAUCCCUCGGCUUAACCGGGGAACUGCAUCUGAUACUGGAUGGCUUGAGUUCGGGAGAGGGAUGCGGAAUUCCUGGUGUAGCGGUGAAAUGCGCAGAUAUCAGGAGGAACACCGGUGGCGAAGGCGGUUCUCUGGGCCUUACCUGACACUGAGGAGCGAAAGCGUGGGGAGCGAACAGG